GUGGAACAGGCCCUGGGUUCUCCUACUGGGAAGAAUGAAGUUCAGGUUCUCCAUGCGAUAUAUGGUUCCACAAUCCUCAGCGUGUUAACUGAAGCCUUGUUGAGUUUAACAAAGCUGCCAUUGAAGAUCUGGGGAAAGUGAAGAAGUUGCAACAGAGUUUUGGGCUCACACCAUUGAUACAUUUGAUCCUUAAGGCCCACCCCGCCUCACUCCCACCCUCUUCUACUUAAUUCAGGAUGUGAAUAGCACAUGCCUUCCAUCUUCAGACAAACACUGAGGCCUGGACAAUGACCUGCAUUAGGUAGAUAGAAUCUACUGAAAGCUAAAAGCCUUUUCCUGUGUCUUAGCAGCACGGAAGCCACGCCUCCUUCCCCCCAGUGUUUGUGCAAGCCCUAGAGAAGAGGAGACAGCCCCUGUGAUGUGUGAGGUUGAAUUUCCUGCCCUCAACCCAUCAAAUCAGGCAGAAUGAGGGCUCAGUCAGAACUACAACUACAAAAGAGAAAAAUUUUAAUGUGACUUUUCUUGUCUGCUCAGAUUUUUGGGUUAAGGUUCAUGCCAGCUACAUUCUUUGCAUAAUAAAAUAUAAAUAGAGUAUAAAUUGUUCUAUUUAGAGAAAACAGCAAAACAAUGCUCUCCCAAGGGCCCUAAUAAAUCACUCUCCAGAAACGUGGAUGUGUGUUGGAUUUACAGGAUUUCUAUGCCAAGCAGAGAAGUACAUGAAAACAGGAAAGCAAAAUGCAUAAGUUGCAAUAAUAGUUUUGUGGUUUAGCUGAAUAAUGUCCUAUAUCAACAGAGGAUAAUGAUUUUAGUUUUUCAGUUGCCCCAAGAUCAUUUCCAUUACUGAUGAGGCUUGAAAUGUCUGUGAAGAAGAGUCAUUGCAAUUGAUUUAUUUGUCUGGCAAACUUUUUGUCAGCAAAUUCACCACUACCUCAAAAAUCUCACUAGCUACUCUAUGCUUAAGACAUUAGAAGCAUAAGCCACAAUGAAAACUAACUCUUAGCAUUAGAAUUCUAAGAAGCAGUAAUGUAUUUAUGAUUUUAUGUUAAAAAUCUC
rnacentral:lncRNA from 1 species